rnacentral:rRNA from 1 species
GACGAACGCUGGCGGCGUGCUUAACACAUGCAAGUCGAACGGUGAUGAUGGAGCUUGCUCUGUUUGAUCAGUGGCGAACGGGUGAGUAACACGUGAGUAACCUGCCCCAGACUCUGGGAUAACCUCGGGAAACCGGGGCUAAUACCGGAUACGCGACUCCACCGCAUGGUGAGGGUUGGGAAAGUUUUUCGGUCUGGGAUUGGCUCGCGGCCUAUCAGCUUGUUGGUGAGGUAGUGGCUCACCAAGGCGACGACGGGUAGCCGGCCUGAGAGGGGAACCGGCCACACUGGAACUGAGACACGGUCCAGACUCCUACGGGAGGCAGCAGUGGGGAAUAUUGCACAAUGGGCGCAAGCCUGAUGCAGCGACGCCGCGUGGGGGAUGAAGGCCUUCGGGUUGUAAACCCCUUUCAGCAGGGAAGAAGCGAAAGUGACGGUACCUGCAGAAGAAGCGCCGGCUAACUACGUGCCAGCAGCCGCGGUAAAAC